GGCUCCCACAAGCGUAAACAGGGCUGCAGAUUUUUGUGAGCGCGCUGCAGGGACUCACGGGGAUGUUGAAGCAGGCAGAAGGGAGAAGCGGUUGGGCAGGGCCACGAUGAUCUGUGGGCCUGGUACCCAUCUACUAUUAUCAACAUAUACUUCAAUAGAAUUAUUCAUCCAAGUGACUGCCCAAAUUAAGGGCAGGAAAGGCACAUAGGCCCACACACAAAAUGUCAUCAACAUAAUGAAUGAUAUAACAAUCCAAAAUCUUGUUUCUAACUGGAUGAAGAGCCUGAGCUACAAAAGUCUGACAAAUAGUUGGAUUAUUAAGCAUUCCCUGAGGCAACACUUUCCACUGAAAUCGGGAGUCUGGUUCUUUAUUAUUUAUG
rnacentral:lncRNA from 10 species